AUUGAACGCUGGCGGCAGGCCUAACACAUGCAAGUCGAACGGUAACAGGAAGAAGCUUUCUUCUUUGCUGACGAGUGGCGGACGGGUGAGUAAUGUCUGGCCAACUGUCUGAUGGAGGGGGAUAACUACUGGAAACGGUAGCUAAUACCGCAUAACGUCGCAAGACCAAAGAGGGGGACCUUCGGGCCUCUUGCCAUCGGAUGUGCCCAGAUGGGAUUAGCUAGUAGGUGGGGUAACGGCAUACCUAGGCGACGAUCCCUAGCUGAUCUGAGAGGAUGACGGGCGACACUGGAACUGAGACACGGUCCAGACUACUAAGGGAGGCAGCAGUGGGGAAUAUUGGGCAAUGGGCGCAAGCCUGAUGCAGCCAUGCCGCGUGUAUGAAGAAGGCCUUCGGGUUGUAAAGUACUUUCAGCGGGGAGGAAGCGAGUAAAGUUAAUACCUUUGCUCAUUGACGUUACCCGCAGAAGAAGCACCGGCUAACUCCGUG
rnacentral:rRNA from 1 species